rfam:Pedobacter ginsenosidimutans strain KACC 14530 contig06, whole genome shotgun sequence.
UAGGGGUAAACCGAAAACCCUAAAUAGAGUAGGUU